rnacentral:rRNA from 1 species
UACUGCGGGUGCCCGCGUUCCUCGGCCUUCCUGGGCGUCCCGCGCCCGCAGGCGGUUGGAUAAGUUAGAUGUGAAAGCCCCGGGCUCAACCUGGGAAUUGCAUUUAAAACUGUCCAGCUAGAGUCUUGUAGAGGGGGGUAGAAUUCCAGGUGUAGCGGUGAAAUGCGUAGAGAUCUGGAGGAAUACCGGUGGCGAAGGCGGCCCCCUGGACAAAGACUGACGCUCAGGUGCGAAAGCGUGGGGAGCAAACAGG